rnacentral:rRNA from 1 species
GUGGGGAAUCUUGCGCAAUGGGCGAAAGCCUGACGCAGCAACGCCGCGUGCGGGAUGACGGCCUUCGUGGUUGUAAACCGCUUUCAGCAGGGACGAAAAUGACGGUACCUGCAGAAGAAGCCCCGGCUAACUACGUGCCAGCAGCCGCGGUAAUACGUAGGGGGCAAGCGUUGUCCGGAAUCAUUGGGCGUAAAGAGCUCGUAGGCGGUUCAGUAAGUCGGGUGUGAAAGCUCCGAGCGCAACUCGGAGAGGCCACUCGAUACUGCUGUGACUAGAAUGCAGUAGGGGAGUGUGGAAUUCCUGGUGUAGCGGUGAAAUGCGCAGAUAUCAGGAGGAACACCGGCGGCGAAGGCGGCACUCUGGGCUGGUAUUGACGCUGAGGAGCGAAAGUGUGGGUAGCAAACAGGAUUAGAAACCCUUGUAGUCC